rnacentral:rRNA from 1 species
GAAUUCGCCCUUAGAGUUUGAUCCUGGCUCAGGAUGAACGCUGGCGGCGUGCCUAACACAUGCAAGUCGAACGGACGAGAGGAGCUUGCUCCUCAAGUUAGUGGCGGACGGGUGAGUAAUGUAUGAGCAACCUGCCUUUCAGAGGGGGACAACAGUUGGAAACGACUGCUAAUACCGCAUAAUGUACAAUGGAGGCAUCUCCGAUGUACCAAAGGAGCGAUCCGCUGAAAGAUGGGCUCAUAUCUGAUUAGUUAGUUGGUGGGGUAACGGCUCACCAAGACUGCGAUCAGUAGCCGGACUGAGAGGUUGAACGGCCACAUUGGGACUGAGAUACGGCCCAGACUCCUACGGGAGGCAGCAGUGGGGAAUAUUGGGCGAUGGGCGAAAGCCUGACCCAGCAACGCCGCGUGAAGGAAGAAGGUCUUCGGAUUGUAAACUUCUUUUAUGAGGGACGAAGGACGUGACGGUACCUCAUGAAUAAGCCACGGCUAACUACGUGCCAGCAGCCGCGGUAAUACGUAGGUGGCAAGCGUUAUCCGGAUUCAUUGGGUUUAAAGGGUGCGUAGGCUGUGCGUCAAGUCGGGGGUGAAAUUCCGGUGCUCAACACCGGGGCUGCCCUUGAUACUGUCGCGCUGGAGUGCGGAUGCCGCCGGAGGAAUGAGUGGUGUAGCGGUGAAAUGCUUAGAUAUCACUCAGAACACCGAUUGCGAAGGCAUCUGGCGAAUCCGUAACUGACGCUGAGGCACGAAAGCGUGGGGAUAGAACAGGAUUAGAUACCCUGGUAUUCCACGCCGUAAACGAUGAUGGCUAACCGCCGGCGACAGACUGUCGGUGGCCAAGCGAAAGCGAUAAGCCAUCCACCUGGGGAGUACGUCGGCAACGAUGAAACUCAAAGGAAUUGACGGGGGCCCGCACAAGCGGAGGAACAUGUGGUUUAAUUCGAUGAUACGCGAGGAACCUUACCCGGGCUCGAACGGCACCUGGAUCGCCCAGAGAUGGGCGAGUCUUCGGACAGGUGUCGAGGUGCUGCAUGGUUGUCGUCAGCUCGUGCCGUGAGGUGUCGGCUCAAGUGCCAUAACGAGCGCAACCCUUGCCGCCAGUUGCCAUCAGGUGAUGCUGGGCACUCUGGCGGGACUGCCACCGCAAGGUGUGAGGAGGGGGGGAUGACGUCAAAUCAGCACGGCCCUUACGUCCGGGGCGACACACGUGUUACAAUGGGUGGUACAGAGAGUUGAGUGUACGCAAGUGCAUUCUAAUCAAGAAAGCCAUCCUCAGUUCGGACUGGGGUCUGCAACCCGACCCCACGAAGCUGGAUUCGCUAGUAAUCGCGCAUCAGCCAUGGCGCGGUGAAUACGUUCCCGGGCCUUGCACACACCGCCCGUCA